rnacentral:rRNA from 1 species
AUGGUUGUCGAUGCCCUUGCGAUCAUCCUUGAUAAGGCCAAAGCCUGCGGCCAUAUCCGGGGCGUUGUCCCCCACCUUGUGGACGGAGGAGGGGUCUCCCUCCUCCAAUAUGCGGACGACACCAGUGUCAUGGUGGAGGGCUCCGCGUCCGACAUCGCCAGCCUGAAGUUCCUCCUCCUGUGUUUCCAACAGAUGUCGGGACUCACCAUCAACUUCGACAAGAGCGAAGUGAUGGUCCUCGGCUACCCCUCGGACGAAGCUUUGUCCAUUGCGGACCGGCUUAACUGCCGCCUGGGCACCUUCCCCACCACCUACUUGGGGGUGCCCAUUAGUGACUCCAGACUCACCGUCGCGGAUCUUCGCCCGACAGUGACUAGGAUGCAGCACAGGGUCGAACCCUGGAGGGGACGCUAGCUGUCGAAGGCUGCCAGGGUGAUCCUAAUCAACUCCUCGCUGGCUAGCCUUCGCUGGUUUCUCAUGAGCUUCUACAGCCUGCAUGAGACCCUCCAUCAGGAGGUGGCCAAAUACCAGUCGAGGUUCUUCUGGGCUGGCGAGGGCGACAAG